rfam:Sarcophilus harrisii ctg7180002516605, whole genome shotgun sequence.
ACAAAGGUUUUUUUUAAAACCAUAUUCUUCUUGGUACAGUAUGGUU